AACGAACGCUGGCGGCGUGCCUAAUACAUGCAAGUCGAGCGAGAAGGUGUAGCAAUACACUUGUAAAGCGGCGAACGGGUGAGGAAUGCAUGGGUAACCUACCCUCGAGUGGGGAAUAACUAGCCGAAAGGUUAGCUAAUACCGCAUACGUUUCCGGAACUUCGGUUUCGGAAAGAAAGCAAUACCGUGGGUAUUGCGCUCCUGGAUGGGCUCAUGUCCUAUCAGCUUGUUGGUGAGGUAACGGCUCACCAAGGCUUCGACGGGUAGCUGGUCUGAGAGGACGAUCAGCCACACUGGCACUGCGACACGGGCCAGACUCCUACGGGAGGCAGCAGUAAGGAAUAUUGCGCAAUGGACGAAAGUCUGACGCAGCGACGCCGCGUGGGGGAUGAAGGUCUUCGGAUUGUAAACCCCUUUCGGGAGGAAGAUGGAGUGGGUAACCACUUGGACGGUACCUCCAGAAGCAGCCACGGCUAACUUCGUGCCAGCAGCCGCGGUAA
rnacentral:rRNA from 1 species